rnacentral:rRNA from 1 species
GACGAACGCUGGCGGUGUGCUUAACACAUGCAAGUCGAACGGAAAGGCCCUGCUGGUGGUGUGUGCGCGGGGGGCGAGCGGGUGAGUAACAAGUGAGCAACCUUCCCUUCACUUUUGGAUGACGUCAGGGAACGGGAGCUAAGACCAUAUGGGAGCUCCUCCUCCUUGGUGGUGGUUGGAUAUUUUCGGCGGUGGGGGGUGGACUCGCCGCUUAUCAGGUUGGUGGUGGGGUAGUGGCUUACCAAGGCUUAGACGGGUAGCCGGCCUGGGAGGGUGACCGGCCACAAUGGGACUGAGAUACGGCCCAGACUGCUACGGGAGGCAGCAGUGGGGAAUAUUGCACAAUGGGCGGAAGUCUGAUGCAGCAACGCCGCGUGCGGGAUGACGGCCUUCGGGUUGUAAACCGCUUUCGAUUGUGACGAAGCGUGUUUGACGGUAAUGAGUAAAGAAGCAACGGCUAACUUCGUG